UUUAGUGAUAAAAGUGGGUAGGAAAGCAUAGGGCGAGCGUAUGCCGAUUGCUAUUCUUGAUGGUAUUCUGUGGAUCAUCUGGGAGUGAAGAACAGGCUAUUGGCGUGUAUUUGGAGAUAGUGGGACGAGAGCUCUAUCCUUACAUCGCAUGUCCCUUGACAGGAAGAAUAGACAGUGGAACAACGCCUCAGACAGAGCCGUGGGAGCUGCAGUAUCAGCGUCUGCUGCAUCUUACCAUCGCAUCAACAUCACAGAUCACUGAUCUGCAUAUUCUGAAUUUGUCAACUCAGAGAUUCUCUGACCUGGUUUAUGGUUAGUGUGAGGCACAAGAGAAAUUAAA
ensembl:lncRNA